ACGGCUGAGUAACGCGUGGGUGACCUGCCGAGGAGUGGGGAAUAACUGCCCGAAAGGGUGGCUAAUACCGCAUACGCUCGUCUCGCAAGAGAUGAGGAAAGUCGCAAGACGCUCUUUGAGGGGCCCGCGUCCGAUUAGCUUGUUGGUGGGGUAACGGCCUACCAAGGCGACGAUCGGUAGUUGGUCUCAGAGGAUGAUCAGCCAGACUGGGACUGAGAGACGGCCCAG
rnacentral:rRNA from 1 species